rnacentral:lncRNA from 10 species
CAGGGUUUCGCCAGACUGGUCUCGAACUGCUGACCUCAGGUGAUCUGCCCAUUCCAGUGAAUCCACAGAAAAUUUUAGGAUGCUGGCAGGCAAGUGAUUGAAAUUUUGUGAAGUCUUUUCUUUUAUCUUUCUUUUAUUUUUUGUAUGUGGCAAGAGCUUCUGAGAAAUUCAUUUCCUCUAUCAGAAUUUGGCUCUUCCUUGCUUCCACGACUCUGCUAUUUAUUUGCCCCUGUUAUAAUACAUAUAUAGUAAAGGGAGUAAAACAAAUUUAAAAUAAAAAACGUAUUAAAUUAUAAAAUAUAUUCCUAUUUUUAUAAAAUGUAGAAAGGAUAUAUGACUUCUGAUUGAGAUGUUAAAGUGAGCUCAACUUCAACACAAUUCCUCUGCCUCAAACACGUAGCAAUAAAUAAAUGUUGAAAAAGGAAAAACAUAUGACUAAAAAUAGAAGAGAGGCCAGGCACGUUGGCUCACACCUGUAAUCCUAGCACCUUGGGAGGCUGAGGCAGGUGGAUCACCUGAGGUCAAGGGUUUGAGACCAGCCUGGCCAACAUGGCAAAACCUUGUCUCUACUAAAAAUUAGCUGGGUGUAGUGGCAUAUACCUGUAAUCCCAGCUACUCGGGAGGCUGAGGCAAGAGAAUCGCUUGAACCCAUGAGGCGGAGGUUGCAGUGAGCCGCGAUUGUGCCACUGCACCAGAGCCUGGGCGACAGGGUGAGACUCAAUCUCAAAAAAAAAAAAAAAAAAAAAAAAAAAAAGAGAAAGCUCUAGUGGCAUGUGAGGCUCACAGUGAGACUCCGGCUCUGAGUGGAGAAUCAGUGUUUGCUGGGACUUUGACCUCUUUCUGUAAAACAGAUCCUUAGGAGAACUCCAUGGCAGAGAUGCCUGGAGCUGGGAGUAUCCCUCAAAGCCAGGGCCUGGGAUGGGCAUUAGCUUGUGAAAGCAGGCUGAUAAAAGGGUUGACUGUCUGUCUGGGACUGUUGCUUUGUAAGAAAGUGGGCCUAGUGAGGGCAAGGGAGAAAAACAUGACUUUUUGACCAAAAACAGCAAAGUAGCCUGUCUGCUCAAGUGACUGAAUCUGUAAUAUUAGUGUAUCAGCACAGAAGAUUUGAAACACUAUGAAGCCCUAGAUCUUAAUUGAAGGCUCUGGAGGAACAGGUGGAGCCAACUGCACAUCUUCUAGAUAAAGUAGAGUAAGAGAAAGAAAAGGGAGAGAUUUAAAAAGUAAGAAGGUGGCCGGGCAUGGUGGCUCACGCCUGUAAUCCCAGCACUUUGGGAGGCUUGAGGUGGGCGGAUCACAAGGUCAGGAGAUCAAGACCAUCCUGGCUAACACAGUGAAACUCCAUCUCUUACUAAAAAUACAAAAAUUUAGCCGGGCGUGGUGGCGCCUGUAGUCCCAGCUACUUGGGAGGCUGAGGCAGGAGAAUGGCAUGAACCCAGGAGGCGGAGCUUGCAGUGAGCCGAGAUCAUGCCACUGCACUCCAACCUGGGUGACAGAGCGAGACUCCAUCUCAAAAAAAAAAAAAAAAGACAAAACCUUAACUUUUCAUUCAAAGACACUAAAAAACUUAAGAAAGGAAUGACAGAUCACAUUUGAGAAGAUAAUCACUGAACAUCUAGAUUUCAGACCGGGACGGUGGCUCACACCUGUAAUCCCAGCACUUUGGGAGGUCGAGGCGGGUGGAUUGCUUGUGCCCAGGAGUUUGAGACCAGCCUGGGCAACAUGACGAAACCCUAUCUCUACAAAAAAUUAGCAGGAUAUUGUGGUGCUUGCCUGUAGUCCCAGCUAUCCAAAAGGCUGAGGUGGGAGGAUCACAUAAGCCUGGUGGUUGAAGCUGCAGUGAGCCAAGAUUGCACCACUGCACUCCAGCCUGUGUGACACAGUGAGACCCUGUCUCAAAAAAAAAAAAAAAAAAAAAAAUUAUUCAAGGUUAUGCCUCUACAAGAAGAAAAGUUAAUCCAGAAGGAAAGUGUGGGCAUCAAGAAGCAAAAGGUAGUUUCUAUAGUGGGAGGAGUGGUUGACUUAAAGUAAUGUGACCAUAGGAAUUAAUUUAACAGGUCAGUAAGUUUAAAUUAUUUAUUGACUCUAAACCCUUUUUUGUGAUGGAAGGCCAAAAUAAUUUUUUUUUUUUUUGAGACAGGGUCUCACUCUGCAAUGGCAUGAUCAUGGCUCACUGCAGCCUCAACCUCUGGGGCUUGAGUGAUCCUCCUGCCUCAGCCUCCUGAGUAACUGGGACUACAGGCAUGCUGCACCACACCUGGCUAAUUUUGUUUUAUUUUUUCUUUUUGGUAGAAAUGGGGUUUUGCCAUGUUGCUCAGGCUGGUCUCGAACUCCUGGCCUCAAGCAAUCCUCCUGCUUUGGCCUCUCAAAGUGCUGGGUUUAGAGGUGUGAGCCACUAUCCCUGGCCUGAAAUGAUUUUUUUUUUUUUGGAGACAGGUUCUCACUCUCACCCAAGCUGGCAUGCAGUGGCACGAUAUUGGCUCACUGCAACCUCUGCCUCCUGGGUUCAAGUGAUUAUCCUACCUCAGCCUCUCAAGUAGCUGGAAUUACAGGCAUGCACAACCACAUCUGGCUAAUUUUUGUAUUUUUAGUAGAGACGGGGUCUCACCAUGUUGGCCAAGCUGGUCUUGAACUCCUGACCUCAAAUGAUCCAUCUGACUUGGCCUUCUAAAGUGCUGGGAUUACAGGUGUGAACCACUAUGCCUGGCCCCAAAAUAAAAAUUUAUUUAUUUUUGUUUUUGUUUUUCCCAAAAUAAAAAUUUAAAUCAAGACAAAAAUGUAACGAGUGGCGUUAUUUGUACAUUUUUGCAGAUCUCUUUAAUGUUUGUCUUAAUAGAAGUCAGCUAGAUUCUCAUAUAUGCUUCUGUGUUCAGUAUGUUGCAGUGUUUUCUGGGUUGAAGUACCCAAAGAAAAUCCAACCUCACACAGACAAGUAGUUGGGAAAGGGAUUAUUUUAAUCGCUUUUUCACUUGAAAGCUUAAAUGUUUUCUGUUACAACAAAUACUGAGUUGUUUUUCUUGAAGUGACAGGGUUACUUCAUUUUUGAGGAAAUGUCUGCCACAUACCCACAUCUGUAGAUCCGUGGUUGUCUAUCAGUUCUUGCAAAUAAAAAUGGUGCUCCCUGAGAAAAGUAGCUAGUUCAGCCCAACUCAAAGAAUUGCACAAAUGUCUUUCCAUGAGACAACUCUUGUACUUCUGUGUGUGGAAGUGUUUUAUGCAUGCUUCCCAUGUUAUCACUCACAGUUUUUAAAAGAUGUGUAUUCAUGGGUCAAGGAUUUAUAAAAUUAACAAUUUUUAUUCUGUCAUCUGGGGCAAUCUUAAGUGAAACUGGCUUUUUCUGUGAGUGCAUGAUGAAGAAUACAGUGACUACUGGGACAGUUUGAUAACACUGCCUAGAUUCAUACUAAGACACCAGCUCUUUUACCCAUCAUCAGUUUUGUACCAUUAAUGCAAAUGUCAAUCAAUUGAGAACAAUUUGUAGUAUUAUUAUAAAAAUAGCUUUAACCUUUCAGACCCUUGAAAGGGCCUUGGGGAACAUACUCUGAGAAGUGCUGCCCUAAAUAGUAAUAGAGAGGAUCUGUCCAAUGGUGUGCUAAGAAUCUCUUCACAUUCCCCAGGAAGAGAGACAUAGCUGCAGACAUUUAGAGUAGACAUAAAGUUAAGUGUGUUGCUUUAAAAUCAAGAGUAACUACUAAAAAAAACCCAGACACAUCUAUAGUUUUCAAAUUAGCACGGCUAAAAAAAGGGAAUACAGAAAUCAAUUCAAUAGAAGAAAGGAAGAGACUCAGAAAAAGGGAUAACAUCUUGUGUGUGAUGGCUCAUGCCUAUAAUCCCAGCUGAGGUAGGAGGACCUGGGCAACACAUAGUGAGACCCUGUCUCUACAAAAAAUAUAAAAAAUUAACCAGAUGUGCUGGUGUACACCUAAAGUCCCAGCUGCUUGGGAGGCUGAGAUGGGAGGUUUGCUUGAGCCCAGGAGAUUGAAGCUGCAGUGAGCUGCGAUUGUGCCAGUACAUUCCAGCCUGGAUGACAGAGACCUUGUCUCUUUUUAAUGAAACAAUGGGCAAAAGAAGUUCAAGAAAGGAAAUUAGAAACCAAUCUCAUGAGUAUAAAAAAAAAAAAAAAGGAAGAGAAGUAAAAUUCUUACAAAUUUGGCAGUGUACUAAAAUAAUGUAUGAGGCUGGGUGCAGUGACUCACACCUGUAAUCCCAGCACUUUGGGAGGCCAAGGCAGGUGGGUCUUCUGAGGUCUGGAGUUCGAUAUCAGCCUGGCCAACAUGAGAAAACCCCGUCUCUACUAAAAAUACAAAAAAUUGGCUGGGCAUAAUCCCAGCUACUCGGGAGGCUGAAGCAGGACAAUCGCUUGAACCCAGGAGGUGGAGGUUGCAGUGAGCCGAGAUCGUGCCAUUGCACUUCAACCUGGGCAAUAAGAGUGAAACUGUCCCAAAAUACAUAAAUAAUAAAAUAAUAUACAAUAGACAAGGAGGAUUUAUUCUGGAAUGCAAUAAUUUCUUUUUUUUUUUUUAGGGACAGAGUCUUGCUCUAUUGCCCAGGCUGGAAUGCAGUGGCAAGGCCUUUGCUUACUGCAGUCUCAACCUCCUGGGCUCAAGCUAUCCUCCCACUACCUCAGCCUCUCCAGGAGCUGGGACUACAGGCACAUACCACCCACUAACAAUUAUCACCUGGCUAAUUAUUGAAUUUUUGUAUAAUUUUUUGUAGAGACAAGGUCUCACUUUGUUAACCAGGCUGGUCUUGAAUUCCUGGACUAAAGUGAUCCUCUUGCCUUGGCUUCUCAAAGUGUUGGGAUUAUAGGCAUGAACCACUGCACCCAGUCCAAGAAUUUAAUUCUUUGAAAAUAUUUACACUUUUUUGCUCAAAAUUCUCCUAUGGCAAAAAUACAGAGUUCUGCCCUGAGGGCCUUUGCACCUCUGGUUCCUUCAGCCUAGCAUGGACUUUCUUUUUUUUUCAGAGACAGACUCUCAUUCUGUCACCCAGGCUGGAGUGCAGUGGUGUAGUCACAGCUCAUUGCAGCCUUGAACUCCUAGACUCAAGUGAUCCUCCUUCCUCACCC